UCUUGGAUGCGGUUUGGAUGUUGAAUGAUGGUUGGAUCUUAGAUGAGGGUUGGGCCUUGGAUCACGUUUGGAUCUUGGAUAAGAUUUGGAUGUUGUGUGAUGGUUGGAUCUUGGAUGAGGUUUGGAUCUUUGAUGAGGUUUGGAAGCUUUUUUUGGGAUCCAAAUUUCCAAUUGGGAUGAAACAGAACUCGUGGGUUCUCCACUGCCAAACUCUGUAAAUAGGAAGGGAUGUGACAAAACCUGACUUAAUUAAUUAAUUAAUUAAUUAAUGUGCUUUUUCAUCUUGCUGCUUUCCAGCCCAUGAAUUCCUUCUCCAGCUCUUUCCCUAAAAUCCUUUGGAGCUGAUCCUGAUUUUUUAAUUACUUGCACUCAGUGGUGAUGAAACAUUUCAAGGCUUUUCCAUAAUUCCUAAAAGAAGGGAAUAUUUUCAAUUAAAGUCUGAAGUUUACACUUGGCUCUGUUGAGAGCAGAGGUUCCCCUCCUAAAUUAUUGAUAUUCCAUAGGAAAAAUUCCCGUUUCAUCAAUCCCUACCUUUUCCAGCUCUUUUACCUCCAAGGAGCUGUUGUCAAAUAUUUAUUUUAAAUUAUUUUUUAGAUUUCAAUUUCGGUCGUUUUGGUGCCGCUUUCCAAUCCGACACUUUCAGUGCAAUAUUUUUAAACUGUGAAGCUUCAAACCCUUGGGUUCCGUGGGAAUUUUUCCCUUUUUUUUUUUUUUGGAAUCCAGCCUAAUUUUGGGAGAAAAAGACACCGAACCGUGUCGAGGGUGUUGUUUGCAAGGUUUGUAUUUCCUCAGCUUAGUUAGGACUGGAGUAAAAUUUAUUCCAAGUUUUUCCUGGCAUGCACUUUAUUGGAAAAUCUGGUGAUAAUUCCAUAUCCAUCAAUUAUUUCCUGGGAAUACAAUCCUCUUGGAGUUUCUCCUGUUGUUUCCCGCCCCCAAAUCGCUGCUGGUUUACCGUGAGAGGAGAAGGAACGUCCUGCGCCUCAUUUUUCCGUGGAUUUCCAAGUGGAUUUCGCACCAAAUCCAUGUUUGUUGAGGCUGGGAUGGGAUCUGGGAGUGGGAUGAGUCCAACCCAGAAUUCCCAAAAGGAAAUCGUUUGGAUUUGAGCGGGUUUUGGGUGUUCUUUGUGCCAUAUUUUUUAUCGUUGUGGGGUUUUAGCACCGACUCCGUAUUUUGUGGGUUGUGUUGAGUCCAACAUAUCCCAAAAAUCUUGGAAUAUUCCCUGGGAAACCCAUCCUGGAGCUGUACAUUGGCUGAAUUCCAUGUGCCAGAAGGAUUUUCCACCUGUAAUUCCUUAUUAAAUCUCUUGGAAUUGUGA